rnacentral:rRNA from 1 species
GAUGAACGCUGGCGGCGUGCUUAACACAUGCAAGUCGAACGGAAAGGCCCUGCUUUUGUGGGGUGCUCGAGUGGCGAACGGGUGAGUAACACGUGAGUAACCUGCCCUUGACUUUGGGAUAACUUCAGGAAAAUGGGGCUAAUACCGGAUAGGAUCUCCUGCUGCAUGGUGGGGGUUGGAAAGUUUCGGCGGUUGGGGAUGGACUCGCGGCUUAUCAGCUUGUUGGUGGGGUAGUGGCUUACCAAGGCUUUGAAGGGUAGCCGGCCUGAGAGGGUGACCAGCCACAUUAGGACUGAGAUACGGCCCAGACGCCUACGUGAGGCAGCAGUGGGGAAUAUUGCACAAUGGGCGGAAGCCUGAUGCAGCGACGCCGCGUGCGUGAUGACGGCCUUCGGGUUGUAAACCGCUGUCGCCUGUGACGAAGCGUGAGUGACGGUAAUGGGUAAAGAAGCACCGGCUAACUACGUG